rnacentral:rRNA from 1 species
UAGGGAAUCUUCGGCAAUGGACGAAAGUCUGACCGAGCAACGCCGCGUGAGUGAAGAAGGUUUUCGGAUCGUAAAACUCUGUUGUUAGAGAAGAACAAGGACGUUAGUAACUGAACGUCCCCUGACGGUAUCUAACCAGAAAGCCACGGCUAACUACGUGCCAGCAGCCGCGGUAAUACGUAGGUGGCAAGCGUUGUCCGGAUUUAUUGGGCGUAAAGCGAGUGCAGGCGGUUUCUUAAGUCUGAUGUGAAAGCCCACGGCUCAACCGGGGAGGGUGAUUGGAAACUGGGGGACUUGAGUGCAGGAGAGGAGAGUGGAAUUCCAUGUGUAGCGGUGAAAUGCAUAGAUAUAUGGAGGAACACCAGGGGAGAAGGCGGCUCUCUGGUCAGUAACUGACGCUGAGGCUCGAAAGCGUGGGGAGCAAACAGG